rnacentral:tRNA from 1 species
AGUAAGAUCAGCUAAUAAAGCUUUUGGGUCCAUGCCCCAAACAUGAAGGUUUAACUCCUUCUCGUGCUA